ensembl:misc_RNA Metazoa_SRP Metazoan signal recognition particle RNA
GCUGGGCACAGUGACUCAUGCCUGUAAUCUCAGUGCUUUGGGAGGCCGAGGCGGGAAGACUGCUGAGCCCAGGAGACGUGGGCUGUAGUGCACUAAGAUUGGCAUCAAUAUGGUGACCUCUUGGGGGAGGCAACCACUAGGUUGCCUAGGGAGGAACGAACUGGCCCAGGUCGUUAACAGAGCAUGUCAAAACUCCCACAAUGAUCAGUAGUGGGAUCCUUCCAGUGAACAGCCAGUGAGCUCCAGCCUGGGCAACAUAGUGAGACCCUGUCUCU